AGCUGACUCUGAUGGGCUUCACCAUCCCAGAACAUACAAUCCGUGACUAAAUGGAGGGCAUCACCUGUGCUCUAAAGGCCAGACUGGCACCUGCUAACAAGGUCUGCAAGGUAAAACAUUGUCCCCCUCCAGAAUCCAGACUUUGAUCUCAUCUUUUAGCAGCAUCUUAGACCAGUGUGUUUAUGUGGGUGUUCAGGCCUCCAAAGCCUUCACAAACAGCAACGGGCAGGAAGCUUUCUUAUGAAAAAGAAAAGGAAAAAAUGCCAGUUUUCACUGGGUGAAACGACUAUUUUCUGCAUACUAGUUUGAGACUGAGCCAAAGCUGUGAAAGCGGACUAUGAUUUUUGACCCUUCUCAUAACUACUUUCCCUCAUCUGUAGAGGUGAGUAAAAUCAUGCUAAGUACACUGCACUUCUAGGCUCUGAUGAGGAGAGUCAAACAAAACCUGUAUAUAGAAGUUUUAAUGCUGAUAUGGCUAAGAUUAACCUCGGAUUGAGCCUGAGGUUUGUAGUUGAGAUCAGCUACAGCUGCAACACCUGGACCAGAGUUUCACUGGAGUCAGGGGAUCAGAUUGCUUUGGCUUGGACCCCUACUCUACUGUGGACACUUUUUCAUUAGGCUAAUCCAUGGUCCCCCAGAUUGGCCCCAACAUCACCCCAAUUUUGUGCCAUGGUUGAUGAGGUGGUGUUGCAGAGCUGGAAAAUACCCUCAGAUCUCAAAAGAAAGAUGCAAAGUCCUGUAACCAAGUUAUGCUUAUUCCUACAUGCUCACACUCAUGGCAUAUCAGGAACUCAGGGCAGCCAAUUUUUCAAGCAGUGCUAAAACAUGUAUUUCACAUUGGUGAAAGGGAGGGACACCGAGCACUUAACCCUGCUCUUAGCCCUUCCCCCAGUUUUCUCUUUCUUGAGCCUGAAUUCAACUGGAAGCAUUAUUUUUAGAGCUGUUGAAUUUAACCCCAAACUCACCCACCCUUCCAGAAUCCUACUGUUGUGCCACAGUAAUGAUGUAAUACACAGUCAUCCCAUAACCAGGACUUGUACAGCACAAAGCCCAUUUGCACCCAUCAGAGUCUGCAAGGCAGCAUCAACCGAUGACUUAUCUUCUGGAGCACUGAAGGAAUUGAGUUCUGCCGAAGAAAUUAUUUAUGAAGAUUUUCCAAGUUGCUCAGAGCUUCAGAUGGAGGAGGUUGAAUAUGACUUCUUUAAUAAAACAGGCUGGGAUGUCAUGAAUGAGUUAAAAGGUCACAGGAAGGAAAUGUUGGCUGCUGCUGUGAAGUUUGAAGGGUGUCAUGUAACCAGUCUCUCUUGCAUUAUCACAUGGAACACAUAAUUCCCAGGUUGCUUUGUGUCGUUUGAAGAUUUUUUUUUUUUGCAGAGGACUUUGUUUUGCAUUCUUUUCCAACCACUUUUAUUUCAGCAACUACUGUUGUGGUAGCUAUGAAGUUUACAAGAACCAAUACUUUGGAAAAAAAAAUAAAAAAUUGUAGCGUAUGAAGUAUAAUACUGAG
rnacentral:lncRNA from 1 species